AUUGAACGCUGGCGGCAGGCCUAACACAUGCAAGUCGAGCGGAUGAAGGGAGCUUGCUCCUGGAUUCAGCGGCGGACGGGUGAGUAAUGCCUAGGAAUCUGCCUGGUAGUGGGGGAUAACGUCCGGAAACGGGCGCUAAUACCGCAUACGUCCUAAGGGAGAAAGUGGGGGAUCUUCGGGCCUCACGCUAUCAGAUGAGCCUAGGUCGGAUUAGCUAGUUGGUGGGGUAAAGGCCUACCAAGGCGACGAUCCGUAACUGGUCUGAGAGGAUGAUCAGUCACACUGGAACUGAGACACGGUCCAGACUCCUACGGGAGGCAGCAGUGGGGAAUAUUGGACAAUGGGCGAAAGCCUGAUCCAGCCAUGCCGCGUGUGUGAAGAAGGUCUUCGGAUUGUAAAGCACUUUAAGUUGGGAGGAAGGGCAGUAAGUUAAUACCUUGCUGUUUUGACGUUACCAACAGAAUAAGCACCGGCUAACUUCGUG
rnacentral:rRNA from 1 species